UGCGUAGGCGGAUUAAUAAGUCAGUGGUGAAAACCUGCAGCUUAACUGUAGAACUGCCAUUGAUACUGUUAGUCUUGAGUACGGUCAAGGUAGGCGGAAUGUGUAAUGUAGCGGUGAAAUGCUUAGAUAUUACACAGAACACCGAUUGCGAAGGCAGCUUACUGGACCAUUACUGACGCUGAGGCACGAAAGCGUGGGGAGCGAACAGGAUUAGAUACCCUGGUAGUC
rnacentral:rRNA from 1 species